CCUACGGGAGGCAGCAGUGGGGAAUUUUGGACAAUGGGCGCAAGCCUGAUCCAGCAAUGCCGCGUGAGUGAAGAAGGCCUUCGGGUUGUAAAGCUCUUUUGUCAGGGAAGAAACGGUGGAGGCUAAUAUCCUUUGCUAAUGACGGUACCUGAAGAAUAAGCACCGGCUAACUACGUGCCAGCAGCCGCGGUAAUACGUAGGGUGCAAGCGUUAAUCGGAAUUACUGGGCGUAAAGCGUGCGCAGGCGGUUUUGUAAGUUUGUCGUGAAAUCCCCGGGCUCAACCUGGGAAUGGCGAUGAAGACUGCAAGGCUAGAAUCUGGCAGAGGGGGGUAGAAUUCCACGUGUAGCAGUGAAAUGCGUAGAGAUGUGGAGGAACACCGAUGGCGAAGGCAGCCCCCUGGGUCAAGAUUGACGCUCAUGCACGAAAGCGUGGGGAGCAAACAGGAUUAGAUACCCUGGUAGUCACGCCCUAAACGAUGUCUACUAGUUGUCGGGUUUUAAUUAACUUGGUAACGCAGCUAACGCGUGAAGUAGACCGCCUGGGGAGUACGGUCGCAAGNUUAAAACUUAAGGAAUUGACGG
rnacentral:rRNA from 1 species